UACGUAGGGUCCAAGCGUUAUCCGGAAUCACUGGGCGUAAAGCGUGCGUAGGUGGAAAGUUAAGUGCAAUGCGAAAUCCUGUGGCUCAACCAUAUGGACUGUAUUGCAUACUGGCUAUCUAGAGGACAUGAGAGGCAAGUGGAAUUACCGGUGUAGCAGUGAAAUGCGUAGAGAUCGGUAGGAACACCAAUGGCGAAAGCGGCUCACUGGACAGUAACUGACGCUGAUGCACGAAAGCUAGGGGAGCAAACAGG
rnacentral:rRNA from 1 species